GGCUGCGAGGGCGAUCUGGCUGUGACAUCUGUCACCCCAUUGAUCACCACGGUUGAUUCGGCUGAUCUGGCUGGCUAGGCGGGGGUCCCCUUCCUCCCUCACCGCUCUAUGUGCGUCCCUCCCCAAGCUGUGCACUAGGUCGAAGAGGACGACCACCCCCGACCGAGGAGAACCGUUUCCUCGGUCAAGGGUAUACGAGUAGCUGCGCUCCCUGCUAGAACCUCCAAACAAGCUCUCAAGGAACAUAGAGUGAUAGAAGCUCAGCUGCAAAGAGUUAAUGAAUGCUUAUGAGCACAU
rnacentral:snRNA from 1 species